rnacentral:rRNA from 1 species
ACCACUUUGUGAUUCAGGACUGGGGUGAAGUCGUAACAAGGUAACCGUAGGGGAACCUGCGGUUGGAUCACCUCCUUA